rnacentral:rRNA from 1 species
CCGAGUGCUUGCACUCAAUUGGAAAGAGGAGUGGCGGACGGGUGAGUAACACGUGGGUAACCUACCCAUCAGAGGGGGAUAACACUUGGAAACAGGUGCUAAUACCGCAUAACAGUUUAUGCCGCAUGGCAUAAGAGUGAAAGGCGCUUUCGGGUGUCGCUGAUGGAUGGACCCGCGGUGCAUUAGCUAGUUGGUGAGGUAACGGCUCACCAAGGCCACGAUGCAUAGCCGACCUGAGAGGGUGAUCGGCCACACUGGGACUGAGACACGGCCCAGACUCCUACGGGAGGCAGCAGUAGGGAAUCUUCGGCAAUGGACGAAAGUCUGACCGAGCAACGCCGCGUGAGUGAAGAAGGUUUUCGGAUCGUAAAACUCUGUUGUUAGAGAAGAACAAGGACGUUAGUAACUGAACGUCCCCUGACGGUAUCUAACCAGAAAGCCACGGCUAACUACGUGCCAGCAGCCGCGGUAAUACGUAGGUGGCAAGCGUUGUCCGGAUUUAUUGGGCGUAAAGCGAGCGCAGGCGGUUUCUUAAGUCUGAUGUGAAAGCCCCCGGCUCAACCGGUGGAGGGUCAUUGGAAACUGGGAGACUUGAGUGCAGAAUAGGAGAGUGGAAUUCCAUG